rnacentral:rRNA from 1 species
UUAAGCCAUGCAAGUCGAACGAGUUUAGGCUCGUGGCGUACGGCUCAGUAACACGCGGAUAAUCUACCCUUAGGACCGGGAUAACCCUGGGAAACUGGGGAUAAUACUGGAUAGGCAAUUAUUCCUGUAAUGGUUUUUUGUUUAAAUGUUUUUUCGCCUAAGGAUGAGUCUGCGGCCGAUUAGGUAGUUGGUUAGGUAAUGGCUUACCAAGCCGUUGAUCGGUACGGGUUGUGAGAGCAAGAGCCCGGAGAUGGAACCUGAGACAAGGUUCCAGGCCCUACGGGGUGCAGCAGGCGCGAAACCUCCGCAAUGUGAGAAAUCGCGACGGGGGGAUCCCAAGUGCCAUUCUUAACGGGAUGGCUUUUCAUUAGUGUAAAGAGCUUUUGGAAUAAGGGCUGGGCAAGACCGGUGCCAGCCGCCGCGGUAACACCGGCAGCUCUAGUGGUAGCAGUUUUUAUUGGGCCUAAAGCGUCCGUAGCCGGUUUAAUAAGUCUCUGGUGAAAUCCUGUAGCUUAACUGUGGGAAUUGCUGGAGAUAUUAUUAGACUUGAGACCGGGAGAGGUUAGAGGUACUCCCAGGGUAGAGGUGAAAUUCUGUAAUCCUGGGAGGACCGCCUGUUGCGAAGGCGUCUAACUGGAACGGUUCUGACGGUGAGGGACGAAAGUUAGGGGCGCGAACCGGAUUAGAUACCCGGGUAGUCCUAACUGUAAACGAUGCGGACUUGGUGUUGGGGUGGCUUUGAGCUGCUCCAGUGCCGAAGGGAAGCUGUUAAGUCCGCCGCCUGGGAAGUACGGUCGCAAGACUGAAACUUAAAGGAAUUGGCGGGGGAGCACCACAACGCGUGGAGCCUGCGGUUUAAUUGGAUUCAACGCCGGACAUCUCACCAGAGGCGACAGCUGUAUGAUAGCCAGGUUGAUGACUUUGCUUGACUAGCUGAGAGGAGGUGCAUGGCCA